CUACGGGGUGCUCCAGCGGGGAAUUUUGCGCAAUGGGGGAAACCCUGACGCAGCAAUACCGCGUGAGUGAAGAAGGCCUUUGGGUCGUAAAGCUCUUUUCUUGGGGAAGAUAGUGACGGUACCCAAGGAAUAAGCACCGGCUAACUCCGUGCCAGCAGCCGCGGUAAUACGGAGGGUGCAAGCGUUGUUCGGAUUUACUGGGCGUAAAGGGCACGUAGGCGGCACAGCAAGUUAAGGGUGAAAUCCCGGGGCUCAACUCCGGAACUGCUCUUAAAACUGCUGAGCUAGAGAUAGUCAGAGGCGGGUGAAAUUCCAGGUGUAGAGGUGAAAUUCGUAGAUAUCUGGAGGAACACCGGUGGCGAAGGCGGCCCGCUGGGGCUAUUCUGACGCUAAGGUGCGAGAGCGUGGGGAGCAAACGGGAUUAGAUACCCUCGUAGUC
rnacentral:rRNA from 1 species